ACUCCCACCCCUAACUCCCAAAGCUAGGAUUCUAAACUAAACUACUCUUUG
rnacentral:tRNA from 1 species